AACACAGUAUUUUCACCUUUGAAACUUUUUUUUUGUUUCGGGUUGUAAUUUUUUCUUUGUUUUCCAUUUCAACGUGAUCAUAAAUUGGAUUUUUCGGUGGUUUAUGGUGUUAUCCUUAACGUCACAAGAAUGUUUUUAAGAAAACCAGAGAACUAGUCGUUUCCUUCAUGUGCUGAAAAGAAAAGAGAAACAAUGUUUCGGAUGUGGAGCCUUCUGCAGGCGUCAGAGUCUCCACACAUCCACGCACUCGCCACCACAUUCCAGCUGCAAUUAACCUAUUAUCCAACCACUUUCCCCCUUUUGUUUGACUUAACCCUUUCUACCUCACCUCAUCUACUCACCUGAGCUAUACAGUACCUCUCGCCGCCUGAUUGUCUCGCUGCUCUUGGUUAACGAUUCUGCCUUCCCACCUCCUGACCACGGUACUGCCUAAUGAUCUGGACUCUCAGGGUCUGAAUCUGCCCCCUACUGGUAUCUGACAACAGGUGACACCUUCUUGAGACCCGAAGAACAUCCACGGCCGGAAACGUUGUGACUCUUCUCUUUUCAGCAUGGAAUAAACGUUUGCUUGUUCCUCUGCCGCCGAUGCAUGCGGACGCAGCUUCCCACCUGAAUUUCCCCCAAAUGUACGGUAUACAGUAGUUUAAUCGUUAAAUAAUGAGCAUCUCAGGCAAGGUGGCCGGUAAUUCUCUCCACAACCACAAGAGUUCAAAGCGGUGUGAAGCCUGAUGUCAGAUAAUAUCAGCUGUGAUGAUCAACACAGACCAUACAGAUAGGCUCCUCUUAUCUAGAAAACAGUGGCUUACAGCCAGCUGCAAGCUAAACAUCCUGGGGAACACCUGGGGUGUGUUCAGCAUCUGUCCUGUAUGUGUUCAGGCUAUGCUAUUGUCCCUGUGUGUCUGUGGGGCUGUAGGAUGGUCUUCCUCACCUCUUUCAGUGCUUUUCGUAAAUCCCUUCUACUGUUAACUGGCUUUCCUUAUGUACUGUAUCUGAUUGUUCUUUCUUUCAUUGACAGAUACUCUUUCUGCAGAGAACAAUAAACUCUCCACACAGAAUAACGCUCUGAACAGAAAGAUCGGUGAGUGUUUCUCUCAUCACUGCUCUCCUUCAUGUUCCUCAGUCCUCUACUGCACAGUUUCUAGUGUUUGAUACAGUUCAGGAUUUAGUGAUGGUCAGUUUUGUUUCCACAAAAUCUACAGUUCCAGCGUUGUAGUGUCAAGUGAUGUUUAGGUGGUUUGUGGUGCUCUCCUUAUUUUUUUCUAACCCACCAGUAAGAAAUGUUACUCUUAUAUUAAGAUGUUUGCAGACUUCAGUGCAUCUGAAUUUUCACCUUUCAUGUUCUGUUUCUUUCUGUAUUGAAACUCUUUAAUUUUUCCUUUGACAGACUCAGAACAGUGUUUCCCAUUACUACUUUCUUCUUAAUUAUUGGUCAUCCCUUGUUGCACUUAUUUCAAAGAUGUUAGGAUUUCUUCAUGAAAUAUUUCUUAUGUUUCUGUAACCAUACACUUAAUAUCUAUUGAUUUUGAUCAGGUUUGUUGCCUUUUUGUUUCAAAACGUGAAAAUUGUGCGUUUAAGAAAUUAUACCCUUGUUAACAGAUGAUUGCAGCAUUUAGGUAAUGUGCAUUUUAGUCUUUCAUACUUUCUGUAAUUUGUUUUCAAUUAAAAUAUAGUGAAUGAAACAACUUAUACACAUUUAUGAAAAGAACAUUUUUUAAAUUGAAGUAAUUUGUGUUUUAUUAAAGUAAUUCUUAGUCCACCAGUGUGAAUUUAGAUUCCUGUCUGCCCCUUAUCGAAAUGCUUGUGUACAGAUAGAGACAGAUUAACGAGCCUGUCCAGCUGAGACAGAUGUGUGCAGAGUUAUUCAUCCAGAACUGCUCGUGUUCCUCUUUCUGAACCCUGUCCAGUUGCACUCUCCUGAGUCUGAUUUGCUGGGAAUCUGAGUGUCCCUGUGGGCAGGUGUGGAGUUAGAGGAGUCUGCUGCAGUAACUCUGUCAGGUCUCACUGCAGGGGUCUGCCUGUGCUCUCAGGGAGAUCCUGUAGAAAGUGCUCUCUGUCUCACUGCUGUUUCUCUCCUCUUCCUUUGACAGACACUCUGGACCGAGAGAAGAGUAAGUGUUUCCUACUGUUACUGGUUGUCUUUUCCUUCAUUCUUCACUGCUCUAGUUUUAGUGUUUGAUGUAGUUUAGGAUUUGUGUCUGUUUUCCUUCUGUCCUCUAAU